UUUCUCUCAUGAUGGAGGCGUCUAUGACUCUGAAUAGCAAUCAAUGAAAUACUUCCUACUGCUGGUGUAGGAAAGGGGAGCCAAAAUACCUGCACCAUUGUUGGAGCUGGUUGCACUCGCUGCUCCUCCUCCUCCAUAUCUGUCCGUGGUGUUGCUUGGAAUGUUUGAUUGUGAAUCAAGUGCCUCUUUCUGAUACGAGUUACUUUCUUGUUCUCCUAUCUUGCACACUCUGGCUCCACAAAUUUCUACAAAGCUUCUGGCAACACCUGCUCCCCAGCUCUCUAUUGCUUGCCCCCAGAAAAGCCAGAACAAAUAUAUGUUCCUCAGAGAAACGCUGCUUGGAAUCAAAGAAGGUCAGUACUCAUCAACGAACAUACACAACCAAAAAUCUUUUAUUCCUUUGGACAUUUAAUUUUAAACUGCUGAAAAGCAGAAUGUAGACGUUGAGUUGUUUCUCAUGCUUUCAGAUCCCUCACACUGGCUGCCAUCUUUUUCAUAUUCUAUGCUAUGCUAAUACACUUUUCUUGACCAUA